rnacentral:rRNA from 1 species
GGGUUGUGAGGUUAAGCGACUAAGCGUACACGGUGGAUGCCCUGGCAGUCAGAGGCGAUGAAGGACGUGCUAAUCUGCGAUAAGCGUCGGUAAGGUGAUAUGAACCGUUAUAACCGGCGAUUUCCGAAUGGGGAAACCCAGUGUGAUUUGUCACACUAUCAUUAACUGAAUCCAUAGGUUAAUGAGGCGAACCGGGGGAACUGAAACAUCUAAGUACCCCGAGGAAAAGAAAUCAACCGAGAUUCCCCCAGUAGCGGCGAGCGAACGGGGAGGAGCCCAGAGCCUGAAUCAGUGUGUGUGUUAGUGGAAGCGUCUGGAAAGGCGCGCGAUACAGGGUGACAGCCCCGUACACAAAAAUGCACAUGCUGUGAGCUCGAUGAGUAGGGCGGGACACGUGGUAUCCUGUCUGAAUAUGGGGGAACCAUCCUCCAAGGCUAAAUACUCCUGACUGACCGAUAGUGAACCAGUACCGUGAGGGAAAGGCGAAAAGAACCCCGGCGAGGGGAGUGAAAAAGAACCUGAAACCGUGUACGUACAAGCAGUGGGAGCACGCUUCGGCGUGUGACUGCGUACCUUUUGUAUAAUGGGUCAGCGACUUAUAUUCUGUAGCAAGGUUAACCGAAUAGGGGAGCCGAAGGGAAACCGAGUCUUAACUGGGCGUUAAGUUGCAGGGUAUAGACCCGAAACCCGGUGAUCUAGCCAUGGGCAGGUUGAAGGUUGGGUAACACUAACUGGAGGACCGAACCGACUAAUGUUGAAAAAUUAGCGGAUGACUUGUGGCUGGGGGUGAAAGGCCAAUCAAACCGGGAGAUAGCUGGUUCUCCCCGAAAGCUAUUUAGGUAGCGCCUCGUGAAUUCAUCUCCGGGGGUAGAGCACUGUUUCGGCAAGGGGGUCAUCCCGACUUACCAACCCGAUGCAAACUGCGAAUACCGGAGAAUGUUAUCACGGGAGACACACGGCGGGUGCUAACGUCCGUCGUGAAGAGGGAAACAACCCAGACCGCCAGCUAAGGUCCCAAAGUCAUGGUUAAGUGGGAAACGAUGUGGGAAGGCCCAGACAGCCAGGAUGUUGGCUUAGAAGCAGCCAUCAUUUAAAGAAAGCGUAAUAGCUCACUGGUCGAGUCGGCCUGCGCGGAAGAUGUAACGGGGCUAAACCAUGCACCGAAGCUGCGGCAGCGACACUAUGUGUUGUUGGGUAGGGGAGCGUUCUGUAAGCCUGUGAAGGUGGCCUGUGAGGGUUGCUGGAGGUAUCAGAAGUGCGAAUGCUGACAUAAGUAACGAUAAAGCGGGUGAAAAGCCCGCUCGCCGGAAGACCAAGGGUUCCUGUCCAACGUUAAUCGGGGCAGGGUGAGUCGACCCCUAAGGCGAGGCCGAAAGGCGUAGUCGAUGGGAAACAGGUUAAUAUUCCUGUACUUGGUGUUACUGCGAAGGGGGGACGGAGAAGGCUAUGUUGGCCGGGCGACGGUUGUCCCGGUUUAAGCGUGUAGGCUGGUUUUCCAGGCAAAUCCGGAAAACUAAGGCUGAGGCGUGAUGACGAGGCACUACGGUGCUGAAGCAACAAAUGCCCUGCUUCCAGGAAAAGCCUCUAAGCAUCAGGUAACAUCAAAUCGUACCCCAAACCGACACAGGUGGUCAGGUAGAGAAUACCAAGGCGCUUGAGAGAACUCGGGUGAAGGAACUAGGCAAAAUGGUGCCGUAACUUCGGGAGAAGGCACGCUGAUAUGUAGGUGAAGCGACUUGCUCGUGGAGCUGAAAUCAGUCGAAGAUACCAGCUGGCUGCAACUGUUUAUUAAAAACACAGCACUGUGCAAACACGAAAGUGGACGUAUACGGUGUGACGCCUGCCCGGUGCCGGAAGGUUAAUUGAUGGGGUUAGCGGUAACGCGAAGCUCUUGAUCGAAGCCCCGGUAAACGGCGGCCGUAACUAUAACGGUCCUAAGGUAGCGAAAUUCCUUGUCGGGUAAGUUCCGACCUGCACGAAUGGCGUAAUGAUGGCCAGGCUGUCUCCACCCGAGACUCAGUGAAAUUGAACUCGCUGUGAAGAUGCAGUGUACCCGCGGCAAGACGGAAAGACCCCGUGAACCUUUACUAUAGCUUGACACUGAACAUUGAGCCUUGAUGUGUAGGAUAGGUGGGAGGCUUUGAAGUGUGGACGCCAGUCUGCAUGGAGCCGACCUUGAAAUACCACCCUUUAAUGUUUGAUGUUCUAACGUUGACCCGUGAUCCGGGUUGCGGACAGUGUCUGGUGGGUAGUUUGACUGGGGCGGUCUCCUCCUAAAGAGUAACGGAGGAGCACGAAGGUUGGCUAAUCCUGGUCGGACAUCAGGAGGUUAGUGCAAUGGCAUAAGCCAGCUUGACUGCGAGCGUGACGGCGCGAGCAGGUGCGAAAGCAGGUCAUAGUGAUCCGGUGGUUCUGAAUGGAAGGGCCAUCGCUCAACGGAUAAAAGGUACUCCGGGGAUAACAGGCUGAUACCGCCCAAGAGUUCAUAUCGACGGCGGUGUUUGGCACCUCGAUGUCGGCUCAUCACAUCCUGGGGCUGAAGUAGGUCCCAAGGGUAUGGCUGUUCGCCAUUUAAAGUGGUACGCGAGCUGGGUUUAGAACGUCGUGAGACAGUUCGGUCCCUAUCUGCCGUGGGCGCUGGAGAACUGAGGGGGGCUGCUCCUAGUACGAGAGGACCGGAGUGGACGCAUCACUGGUGUUCGGGUUGUCAUGCCAAUGGCACUGCCCGGUAGCUAAAUGCGGAAGAGAUAAGUGCUGAAAGCAUCUAAGCACGAAACUUGCCCCGAGAUGAGUUCUCCCUGACUCCCUGAGAGUCCUGAAGGAACGUUGAAGACGACGACGUUGAUAGGCCGGGUGUGUAAGCGCAGCGAUGCGUUGAGCUAACCGGUACUAAUGAACCGUGAGGCUUAACCUUACAACGCCGAAG